AGCGCCUGCGGCGGAUCAGGCACAGAGGACCGAACCAUGACUUCGCAGGCAGCCCUUCUGUGUACGGUCUUGUAAAACCCAUAAUUUAUUGGGAUUUAACUC
rnacentral:sRNA from 1 species